rnacentral:rRNA from 1 species
AACGAACGCUGGCGGCAGGCUUAACACAUGCAAGUCGAACGCAUCCUUCGGGGUGAGUGGCAGACGGGUGAGUAACGCGUGGGAAUCUACCUCUUGCUACGGGAUAGCUCCGGGAAACUGGAAUUAAUACCGUAUGUGCCCUUCGGGGGAAAGAUUUAUCGGCAAGGGAUGAGCCCGCGUUGGAUUAGCUAGUUGGUGGGGUAAAGGCCUACCAAGGCGACGAUCCAUAGCUGGUCUGAGAGGAUGAUCAGCCACAUUGGGACUGAGACACGGCCCAA